UAGACACAGAAGAUGCACAAAAACAAACACAACGGUAUGCAAAAUGAGGCAAGAUGCAUUUAUGGAAACACAGAGCCGCAAACCACAUGGUGGGAUGAUUAGUGGGGUUUUGUGGGGUUUUUCCGUCUGCGCUGCUCUUCUGGACGGAGUCACGAAUCCAGUCACGAUUUUAGUCAAUCUAAAGACGAUGUCACUUUGACUGAAGGAUGACAUAAAGGACAAUGACGAGCUCCAUUCAAAAGAAAUGUGUCUCAUAGUUGCUCUGAUGAGCAAAUCCUGCAUAGUCCACAAUCCUAAAGCCUCUCACAGGAAGGGACUGGAAGCCACCUCCACGUCCCUGCUGCAGAGUUCAGCCCGGUGCCAAUGCUGGCUCCGUGCAUGUUAAAGAUCUGUGACCACGGCCCAUCAGCAAAGUUUGUUUUCUCGCAUAAUAAAUAGAAGCGACAGGAUUUCCCUUUUGUCUGAGUUGCUUUCUCAGGAGGAUCUCUUACUGUUCAAACACCAUCAGAUAACCAACAUUUAUUAAUCUGCUUUGUUUUCAGAAGACUUUGGAAAUCGCUGGAGGACGAGGAACCAGCGGAGCCAAUUACGCUGGUUUAUGUGUCGGUAUGAAACGCACCCAGACCUCGGAGAGCCCGAGCGUCGAGUCCAGUCACUCCUCUUCUUUCCACUCCUCUCUCGCCAUCUUUCCCUUCUGAGGUUUUCAUCAUGUUUUAUUUACACGUCCGACCAAAAGAAUCCUAUACACAGGAAAUGCUUGUGAUUGUGAGUUCCUCUCCUCAAAUGUGGGCAAGUUUAUUUAUUUCAAGCAAACAUUCCUGAUUUGCACAGCGCUAGCCUCAAACAGUGCAGCUUUUUCAGCGGAGUGUGAGUCUGAGCGGCGGGCCUAUAUUUAGACAUGGCUGCUCUGUGUUUGUAAUGAUGCUGUCAGCACAGCGCUCUGAUUUCCUGCAGGUGUCAUUCUACAACAAGUCGCUCACAGACCCUCGUUUGGGACUUUCAGCACCAUCAGACCUUAAAAGGCUUCUCAUUAGCUAUUUAUGACUCCCGGUCCAGAGCAAAAGCAGGGUUACCAUUGUUAUUCAGCUGUUAGCAUUAGCGGUGAAACCAGGAAACACAAGCUGUGUCUGUACGUUAAACUCGUCACUUCUUCCAGGUAUGAAGCCAGUGACUACAGUCAGUGCACAGUGAAGAAGACUUAUGAGAUCCAGAUUUAAUUAUUUUUGGAAGAAUUCCUCCAUUGAGAGAGCGCUCAAAAUUUCUUGAAUUGAAAGAAGAGAAAGUGGAAGAAAUCAUUUUGAUAUUCCCGAGGAAACAGUCACACUCCAGCCCGGAUCUGUCUGGAUGCAAGGAGGGAAUUUACAGCCUGAUGCAGACUGCUCCAGCUUGUGUAUUAAUGGAGCAAACAGACAUAAGAUAGAUUGCAACAAAUGAUGAUAAUUGUUUUGUAUAAAUAUAGAAUCAAA